CGUGGGGUGAUAGUGCGUCAACGAUCAGCAGCUCAGAUUUGCAUAGCGAAGCACCGCCCAUCGCAGCCUCGGAACGAAUGAGGCAAAUAGCCGCUGGGUCUUCAGCCCAGCCUCCUACGCUUACCUUAAAGGAGCCGCUCCUUUUUGCGUUGGAUCUAGUUCACAAACGACUUGGUCCACGGACCUGGGAUUGAAGGGUUAAAGAGCCGCCGCCGUCCCCAGCGACCGUCAGCCGCUCCCUACACUAGCAGUGGCAAAUGGAAACACUGGGCUCAUCUAAGGUGGAGAGGACAAGACCAGCCAACAUGAAGAGAGGCUAAAGGUGUACAGGGAAAAGCCCAGGAGGAAGAGGGGCCAGACACGAAGACAGGUACACAGUGGGCGUCCAGCAAAUCCACGGAAGAACAAAGAGAAGGGCACCUGUCAAUGAGAAGCCAUUUAUAUUCCAGGCACCCUCCUACGACGAGGGACUUUUCCACAGGUUCUUAUCCUCUCAAGUACCUGAGUACUCUGAGAUGGGGACCCAAGAACCUGUGUGGCAAGGGACUGUUCUGACAAGAGCAAGGGAACAACCUUUCUCAUCACUCUGAGGUCCUGCUGAUGACAGUCCCUAGAAUUCACUUAAUAGGACCCCCACCCAAAGCUGGAACUACCUCUGCACUGUCUUGAGGCAUCCUUUGGCCUCCUAUGUUCCCAAGAAACCCUGGUCCACAGCAAA